rnacentral:misc_RNA from 1 species
UUGCUGGAGUUGGCCCUCGAGUUGCCCGAGCUGGACCUUCAGUUGGGAUCGUUGUUUCCUUCUAUGAGGUGGUAAAAUAUUGUUUGAGCCAUAGGCACAUGCAUCAGCAGAACGAAGGUGCUGAUCUAUAGCAUUGUGAUCUAUCUUCCAAGCCAAUGAGACAAGUGAUAUUAGCAUAACUUCUACCAAUAAGAAGCUGAAGAUCUAACAGAUGGAUGAUAUUCGAUGAAAUGUAAUCUCCUGAAGACCCG